GGUAUAUCAGAGUUACUACUCAUGGUCAGAUGAAUAUCAACUGGUGCUUCUUGUUUUACACCUUCAGUAAUCAAAGGGAAGAUAUGAACAGGAUCAGCAUCAUGGUUCUCAUUCACAUCAGAAGUUUCCAUAAGAUUGAGAUCGAAAGCCUUAAAGGAACUGGGCGAAAGUUGUUUUUCUGUGAAGUCACUGCCCAGCCUUGCAUCACCCUCGGGUAUCAUAGAAAUGUCUACCAAUCUCUUCUCCUCAGAUGGAAAUAUUAACGGCUCGCUAUGUGAUCUCCUCGGUUCCUGUGAAAUCUGCUGCUUUUCCAUUGAACUAGAAUGGUACAGAAAGAUAUCUGAGAAAGUACUUGUUAAUGAAGCCAGUUCUCUAGGUCUCUUAGUUACUCUUCCUUUACAAUCAUCAUUAUCAUCCAAUUCCCGUUUCUCACCUCUUCCCAUGGCUAUAGAACUGCAAGUUUCCAUUUCAGUAAGUCCCUCUAUUUUCUCUCCCUCCCUCAUUAACGUACUUCCAGGAAAGGAUGAAGAGCUUGUCUCAUUUAACUGCUUAUUGGCAUAAGUAAGACAUUGUUCUUCCUCGGUGGACUGCGGUUUCAGUUUGUCAGAAUCAAGGCUUUUCGCAUCACGGUUUUGAUCUGAUAAAAUAACACCAGGGGAAACAUCCACAGGGAUGUCUUGGGAAUGCACUUCAGUUUCUUUAGGGAUAUCACUCGCAUGAGCAUCCUCAUCUUCAGAAUCAUGACAAACCUUCAAACCUCUGUUUGCCA
rnacentral:misc_RNA from 1 species